rnacentral:lncRNA from 1 species
AUGUCCCUCCUCACGGGGCUGGCACCAGAUUGGGCUGUGUGGGAGGUGGAGCAGCUUUGGGAAGGUCACCUUGCUCGGUCAGUUGCCUCCAUCAGUCCCCUUGGCCUGACUUCUUUUUCCAGCCCUGCUGGUGCUGAGCCCCCUUCUGGGGCUUUCCUGAUACCCAGGGGAGAUGGUGGAGUCUCGGAACGGAGCAGGUGGGGAGCCCAGGCCUGGAAGACAGGUGUCCUGAGACAGCCGGAGCCCAUUCACAGCUGCCACACCUGGAAGGUGAUCUGUGCCUCACGUGGCCACUGGGGGAGAGGGCUCAGGGUACUGCCCAAGACCCAGCCUCUCCUGUCUGGCAGAGCCUGGAAAAAGGGUCUUGCAUUAAAAAGCCAGGAAGCUGAAGCUCCACUCCUCCAUGGAAGCUCAUGGAAGCCCACAGAAGAACCAAAGGAAUCAGAGGAGGGGCAUGGGCAGGAGUCAUCACCCUUCUGUCCAGGAACUUGAAUCUGUGAGCUGAGUGCUAGCUGAUUGUCCCUCCCCAAACUGUAAGGUCCAGAAACGGAUGUCAUCAGCUCCCCUCUGAGUGUCCAGUGCCACCCCAGGGUCUGCAGAAGAUGGGGACAGAAAGUAGUUGGAGAGCGAGCUGCUGAACUGAGGGGUGCGUGCCCCUGGAUGUCCUUCUGGAACAUUCCGAAGCAGGAGCCUGUACUCUGAGAACCUGCUGCAUUGCCUCAGCUGCACCAGCCUGGACCCACCCCCCCACCCCACCCCCCGAAAGGCAGCCAAACACAACAGCAAGAAGGACAUCUGUAGGCAGGAGGGGCCAGGUCAGCCACCUCUGGCAGGCCCUGUGGGUCCAGGAGGGACAGGACAAAGACCCAGCUGGGUGAGGCUUUGUUUUCAGUCCCAGGCUGGGUCCUGGUGGCCUGUGUUGGGCAAUCAGUAUUGCGCAUGCUGGAGGCAAGAACAUGGGCACCACACCCCCAGCUCCCCGUGCCCUCCAAGCAGCUGCCCCAUCAAGUCCAGCUCUGCUUAGGCUCACAGACAGCCACGUCUCCUUUCCUAGCGGAUUGCAGUGCCUGUGCUGAGGGCCUGGCCCAGGCAAAAAGGCUACCUCCGGUUUUCCAAUAUGCCUGGGUUCCCCCCGGGAUCAACACUGGACUUGUGAAAUCCAUUACUGCCCCGAUUGCAUGAGCCCCACCGAGGUCACACGAAUGUAAGCUUACUCACGGGACACAGGCAUUUGCCAUCCGUGCAGGGAGCUCCCCCACCAGCUGUGCACCCCAAGACAGCGGCUCUGCCAAGCUGCCAGGCCUUGACACCUGCCUGGGAGUCCAGUUCCUGCAUCAGUCCCUUGCUUCCCACCUGUGCAGCACAGGGAGAAGCCUUCUAUAGGGCCCUUUUGUCUGUCCAAAGCUCUGGGCCUUCCAGUGAGCUUUUACUGACUCAACUUGUGUCGCCGGAACAGAGCCUGGACGUGGACAGUUUCGGGCAUACACCAAGU